AUUAAAUGAUGGGGUGCAAGCUCUUGAUUGAAGUCCCGGUAAACGGCGGCCGUAACUAUAACGGUCCUAAGGUAGCGAAAUUCCUUGUCGGGUAAGUUCCGACCUGCACGAAUGGCGUAACGAUGGCCACACUGUCUCCUCCCGAGACUCAGCGAAGUUGAAGUGUUUGUGAUGAUGCAAUCUACCCGCGGCUAGACGGAAAGACCCCAUGAACCUUUACUGUAGCUUUGCAUUGGACUUUGAACCGAUCUGUGUAGGAUAGGUGGGAGGCUAUGAAACCGGAACGCUAGUUUCGGUGGAGCCGUCCUUGAAAUACCACCCUGGUUUGUUUGAGGUUCUAACCUUGGCCCGUGAUCCGGGUCGGGGACAGUGCAUGGUAGGCAGUUUGACUGGGGCGGUCUCCUCCCAAAGCGUAACGGAGGAGUACGAAGGUACGCUAGGUACGGUCGGAAAUCGUGCUGAUAGUGCAAUGGCAUAAGCGUGCUUAACUGCGAGACCGACAAGUCGAGCAGGUGCGAAAGCAGGUCAUAGUGAUCCGGUGGUUCUGUAUGGAAGGGCCAUCGCUCAACGGAUAAAAGGUACUCUGGGGAUAACAGGCUGAUACCGCCCAAGAGUUCAUAUCGACGGCGGUGUUUGGCACCUCGAUGUCGGCUCAUCUCAUCCUGGGGCUGUAGCCGGUCCCAAGGGUAUGGCUGUUCGCCAUUUAAAGAGGUACGUGAGCUGGGUUUAAAACGUCGUGAGACAGUUUGGUCCCUAUCUGCCGUGGGCGUUGGAAGUUUGAAGGGGGCUGCUCCUAGUACGAGAGGACCGGAGUGGACGAACCUCUGGUGUACCGGUUGUGACGCCAGUCGCAUCGCCGGGUAGCUAUGUUCGGAAGAGAUAACCGCUGAAAGCAUCUAAGCGGGAAACUCGCCUUAAGAUGAGACUUCCCCGGGGACUUGAUCCCCUUGAAGGGUCGUUCGAGACCAGGACGUUGAUAGGUCGGGUGUGUAAGCGCAGUAAUGCGUUCAGCUAACCGAUACUAAUUGCCCGUACGGCUUGAUCCU
rnacentral:rRNA from 1 species